AGUCCAAGGUACCAAAUACUGAAUAUGAUGAGGAAUCUAGAUACUUUUCUGAAUCUCAAACUACAGAAAUCAGUAUGUUUUGGGGAAUCAGGGGAGUCUGGGCAGAAGGAAUGAGCUUGUGUCCGUUUUUGGGAAAUCCAGAGUGCCUGCCAUCCUAGUCAGUUAGGUAUUCAGUAACCGAGAAGCAGGGACUGAGGGGAAAUUGCAAGGACAGCAUUUGUGACCCUUUGAGCUGAAAAAGAAAUGGGCUUCCCUUUACAAACUCACCAACAGCUUGCUAUCCUAGUUCAUGUCAUGCUGUAACUCUCACUGCUAAGGGCCUUGCAGAUAAACACAUCUGAUCUUGCUUAAGUGCUCUCAAACACUGGCUCACAAAGGUUUAAAGAGAACUAAGCAAAUAAAAGAAGCAGAGAACAUUUCCAGACUCAAGUCGGUAGUUAUGAAAGUGAGAUUUUACAUCUAUCAGCAUGGGGCACCUGAGUCUUGCUGCAGUCUUACUGAGACUGACUGAUUUGGAAAAUCUGGGUUUAUGGCCCAGCGAUUUGUGGUUUAAGUAAAAAAUAUAGAUGGAAAGAGUUGCUUUAUUUGCCAAGCAUUUGAGGCAAAUGUAGAGGAUGUAGAAAUUAGAAAAGUAAAGACUUUUUUUUUUUUUUUUUGGUUUCUUGAGACAGGGUUUCUCUGUGUAGCCCUGGCUGUCCUGGAACUCACUCUGUAGACCAGGCUGGCCUCGAACUCAGAAACCCGCCUGCCUCUGCCUUGCAAGUGCUGGGAUUAAAGGUGUGCACCACCACACCCGGCAAGGUUUGUUUUAUUAAAUCUUUCUUUGUGCUUUUUAUAACACAGUACUGAAUUUAAUAAUCAAUGAAUAUGUUUUCUUUUCUUCCCAAGUUUUUCCAAUAUCCUACCUUUAAACCAUUACUAUACCUUUUCUUUUCUUUUCUUUUCUUUUCUUUUCUUUUCUUUUCUUUUCUUUUCUUUUCUUUUCUUUUCUUUUGAGAGAGGGUCUCUGUAUAUUCCUGGCUGUCCUGGAACUGUAGGUAUACCAGGCUGGCCUUGAGCGUACAGAGACCCACCUGGCACUGACUCUGGAUUGCUGAGGUUAAAGGCAGUGCACUACAGAGCCCAGCUAAGUGACACCUUUAAACAUCUUUCCAGAGAGAUUCCUUUGGAUGACCUUGAUGGUGGCCUUUGCCCACAUCUUGUCAGUCUCACUUGUACCAUGCUAUGGCAUGACUGAAGCAUUUAAGCUAUGCUGAGUCUGUGAAGAUCAAACCAGAGAAUCAGGCUUCCCUUUGCACUAAUACAUUUCUUCUUUAUCACCUCAGCUAUCUGUAACAGGAAGGGCCAUAAAACCCUGCUCAGCCACUAUUAACAAUGAAGACUGUAAGAUGUAAUCAUACUUUGGAGGCGGGGGAGGGGCUUGCUAGCAAAAUAGUUUCCUUUUCAUUUCCAACCCUGAAAAUUCUCCAAGAGGUAAACUCUAACGUCUCUUUCAUCUCUAGAGUAGAUUCAGAACAUCCACUGGAGGGUAAACAUCUUCUCUAGUUUCCUGUCACCAGAUACUUAGGUGGCACAAAUGUCUGCAAGGCCAUUUUGUGUCCUUGAGCCCCUCUGGCUCAACACUGCCUGAAGCCCAUCUUCCAGGCCCUGAAUAAUUAAAGGCCAUAAGCUCAGAGUUGGUUUUGAUCAGUUUCUACCCAUGCAGGUUCAGGCAAGCGAAGGCAUGCCUGAGGCAGCAGUCGCUGUGGCUGCUCCCCGAUCUCAUCGAUCUCGUCGCCAGACCCUCAUCUGCUAUCGUCCCGAAGCCUGAGACUAGGCCUCCUAUCUCGGAAGCUCCUCUGGCUCCUUCACACCACCAUCUGCUUACUAAUCUCCACAGACAGCUUGAUUUCUCAUCUGCUUAAGCAACUAGUUUUUUCUCUUCUCUUUACACUUAGUUCCUAAACUCCCACCCUUGUAAAAAGCAAUUUUAUGUUUAAAAUGUCUUAUCUCACUAUAUUAUAAUAUAUUAAAUUAAUAAAAUCGGAUUUUAAAA